rnacentral:rRNA from 1 species
AUUGAACGCUGGCGGCAUGCCUUACACAUGCAAGUCGAACGGUAACAGGUCUUCGGAUGCUGACGAGUGGCGAACGGGUGAGUAAUACAUCGGAACGUGCCUAGUAGUGGGGGAUAACUACUCGAAAGAGUGGCUAAUACCGCAUGAGAUCUACGGAUGAAAGCAGGGGAUCGCAAGACCUUGUGCUACUAGAGCGGCCGAUGGCAGAUUAGGUAGUUGGUGGGAUAAAAGCUUACCAAGCCGACGAUCUGUAGCUGGUCGGAGAGGACGAUCAGCCAGACUGGGACUGAGACACGGCCCAGACUCCUACGGGAGGCAGCAGUGGGGAAUUUUGGACAAUGGGCGCAAGCCUGAUCCAGCAAUGCCGCGCGCAGGAUGAAGGCCUUCGGGUUGUAAACUGCUUUUGUACGGAACGAAAAGCCCUGGGUUAAUACCCUGGGGUCAUGACGGUACCGUAAGAAUAAGCACCGGCUAACUACGUGCCAGCCGCCGCAGUAAAAC